rnacentral:rRNA from 1 species
GGACCCGCACAAGCGGUGGAGUAUGUGGUUUAAUUCGAAGCAACGCGAAGAACCUUACCAAGUCUUGACAUACCGGGCAAGGCCUAAGAGAUUAGGAGAUAUACGCACGGAUACAGGUGGUGCAUGGUUGUCGUCAGCUCGUGUCGUGAGAUGUUGGGUUAAGUCCCGCAACGAGCGCAACCCCUGUCUUUAGUUACCAUCAUUCAGUUGGGGACUCUAGAGAGACUGCCGGUGAUAAACCGGAGGAAGGUGGGGAUGACGUCAAAUCAUCAUGCCCCUUAUGACUUGGGCAACACACGUACUACAAUGGCAAUUACAAAGGGAAGCGAAGUAGUGAUAUGGAGCGAAACCCAGAAAGGUUGUCUCAGUUCGGAUUGAAGUCUGCAACUCGACUUCAUGAAGUUGGAAUCGCUAGUAAUCGCGGAUCAGCAUGCCGCGGUGAAUACGUUCUCGGGUCUUGUACACACCGCCCGUCAAACCACGAAAGUUGGUAAUACCCGAAGCCGGU